rnacentral:rRNA from 1 species
GGGGGGGGCAAGCGUUGUUCGGAAUUACUGGGCGUAAAGGGUGCGUAGGCGGCUUUCUAAGUUGGAUGUGAAAACUCUGGGCUCAACCCAGAGCCUGCAUCCAAAACUGGAGAGCUUGGGUUCUGGAGGGGAAAGCGGAAUUCCUGGUGUAGCGGAGAAAUGCGUAGAUAUCAGGAGGAACACCGGUGGAGAAGGCGGUUUUCUGGACAGAUACCGACGCUGAGGCACGAAAGCUAGGGGAGCAAACAGGAUUAGAUACCCUGGUAGUCCUACCCCUAAACUAUGGAUACUUGCUGUGAGGGGGAUUGAAACCCCUUGUGGAGAAGCUAACGCAUUAAGUAUCCCGCCUGGGGAGUACGGUCGCAAGGCUG